GUGACUACGGUGAAGAGAAGAAACCGGCAGGUCAGCGCGUCGUAGUCUGCAGGAUAGCAAGGAAGAUGGUGGAGGUGUUGUUCAUGCAGAGGAGUCGGAUGAUGGACUGACCGGCUAACUGGUUGUUUGACGCGUGUGAGGCAGCGGUAACUACGUAGGUCAAGCAAGCACGCCUCCACUACCUAUGGUCUCCUCAAACCUGUCGUCACCAAGCAGCGGAGUGACUGGGAUUCAUCAUGUGCAAAUUGUCUGCAUGGCUGCUUAGCGGAGCUGUGACACGUGUCAGUGGUGAUGGAGUCUGCAUGCAAGGGUCCCUUCAAGCACUGUGGCUGAUCGCCUCUAGUCUGCCAGCGCCGAGCAGGAUGUUUGCCGGAGACGAGUGACAGAUGGCGCUGAUGUGUCAAGCCUGACGCAACAGACCGUACUGGUGGCUGCCUUGUCUGGCAGCGCCACGCAGCGACGAGGAGGGUGAUGGAUGGGUGUUCGAAGAAGUUGGUGGACUCCUGUAUUUGAUCGUUCGCUGGCUUCUUACCUCAUCUGCUGUUGCUGGCGCCGCCUGCUCAAAACUUCCCUUCGUCCCCUGCGCCAGAGUAGCGGCCGAGGACGCUAUAACUUGUUACACGUACUGUAUACGUACCCAGAGCGGCGCCUCCCCAUUCUUUGGCGUGGGUGAGGUGCCUUCCGACCCUCCACUCAGGGAUCAGUAGUGUUUGUUGCUGGUUAAUGAGUACAUGGUCUUAGGAGUUCGAGAGACUCCACUUUUGAAUUUCGAUUUUUUUUUUUUUUUUUUCGCUGGGAAUUCGAAAUACCGUUUCUCCAAACGCUCUUCGAGGUAUAUUGUAAGCCCUAAAUAAACCAUGGUAUAAAUAAAUUAAAAUUUGAAAGCAAAGGGGUUUAAUUAUUUGAAGCAAUUAAAGUUGCCUUCACAUUUAUUUGUUAAGCCUCCACACAACAAACUCAGUAUUAAAAAAACUAGAUUUGUCUUUACGGGAACCGGGAUAUAGGAGUGAACAUCUCAAAGUAUAUAUAUAUAUAUAAAU
rnacentral:misc_RNA from 1 species